UAGGUUAACGAGGCGAACCGGGGGAACUGAAACAUCUAAGUACCCCGAGGAAAAGAAAUCAACCGAGAUUCCCCCAGUAGCGGCGAGCGAACGGGGAGCAGCCCAGAGUCUGAAUCAGCUUGUGUGUUAGUGGAACGGUCUGGAAAGUCCGACGGUACAGGGUGAUAGUCCCGUACACCAAAAUGCACAGGUUGUGAACUCGAAGAGUAGGGCGGGACACGUGGUAUCCUGUCUGAAUAUGGGGGGACCAUCCUCCAAGGCUAAAUACUCCUGACUGACCGAUAGUGAACCAGUACCGUGAGGGAAAGGCGAAAAGAACCCCGGCGAGGGGAGUGAAAAAGAACCUGAAACCGUGUACGUACAAGCAGUGGGAGCACCUUCGGGUGUGACUGCGUACCUUUUGUAUAAUGGGUCAGCGACUUAUAUUCUGUAGCAAGGUUAACCGUAUAGGGGAGCCGCAGGGAAACCGAGUCUUAACUGGGCGUUAAGUUGCAGGGUAUAGACCCGAAACCCGGUGAUCUAGCCAUGGGCAGGUUGAAGGUUGGGUAACACUAACUGGAGGACCGAACCGACUAAUGUUGAAAAAUUAGCGGAUGACUUGUGGCUGGGGGUGAAAGGCCAAUCAAACCGGGAGAUAGCUGGUUCUCCCCGAAAGCUAUUUAGGUAGCGCCUCGUGAACUCAUCUUCGGGGGUAGAGCACUGUUUCGGCUAGGGGGUCAUCCCGACUUACCA
rnacentral:rRNA from 1 species